AGAGUGAAGCCUAGUGAAUAACAUGAUUUGGAUGCAGUAGGAAGAUUAUAUACACUUCACCAUUUUCCUUUCAGUUACCUAACAUUCUGAAUGUUUUUUUAAAAGUAUGUUUUCAGACAUUAGUUAGAUUUUUCAGUUGUGGCAGCUGAGCUUGACUUGGUGCGGUGAGUAGUGAAGGGAGUUUGUGAUGUGUAGUGGAAAGUGUGUUGGACCUUUAGAAGAUUAAUUACCAAGUUCCCUCCCUGCCACUGAUUACCAACAUGGUCUUGGAAAAAACACCACCAAGUCUCAAUUUGUUCCUAAGUAAAAUAAACUAGAUGAUCUCAAAGGGCCCUUCCAACAUGGAAAUUCAUUGCUAGAGUGAUUUAACUGUGAAAAAUGCAGGUAGGCCAAACCUAAUGCCCCAUCUCUAUUUCUUGCAGCACCACCAGGACACAGAAAGAUAUUUUUAUUGUUGAGAGAGACGGUUAAGGGGCAGAAGGCCAAAGUAAACAGUUAUACAGGCCAGUGCUAAAGAGAUCAUUUGCAAUCAAUAAAUGAAUUGUGGAGAAUACACUGAAAGCAGAUCAAUGAAACCUUACUAUUUGCGGAGAAAGAGGUUGGUUACACAGUGUAAUAGGAGAUGUGAUUGCAAAAACCAAUAUCAUAAAACACCUAGGACAGAAAGCACAGUUCUGCACACAGACCCUAUUUGGGUCAAGUGAGCCAGUUCCUUGAACCUGAAUAAUGACUGCUGAAUGAAGGGAUACUGCAGAUCUGUCUCCCCAGGCUACCCAGGACACGGAAGGUAUAAUGACAAUGAAAGUGGAGGAGGAAGAUGAAGGACAUAAGGAAGACCACUUACAAAGAGAAAGAAAUAAGAUCGAGUUAUCACCACAGUUUUUUAGUUGUUCCACAACUAUGAAUUAGAGAGCCUUAUUAUCAUCAUAUUUAAUUGCCUAUUGAGUGGCAAAAGAGAAAAUGGCUCACAUGGCUGCUGAAAAAAUUAUUCUUCUACCAUGUAUGGAUAUGGUACGUACAAUUUUUGAUGAUAAAUCAGCUGAUAUAUAUAUAUAUAAAUUAAGAACUAUACCUCUUAGUGAUAAUACAAUAUCUCGUCGAAUCUGUACUAUUAUUGCAAAACAUUUAGAAGCAAUGCUAAUUACACGACUACAAUCUGGUAUAGAUUUUGCUAUUCAGCUUGAUGAGAGCACUGAUAUUGCAAGUUGUCCAAUACUUUUGGUUUAUGUGAGAUAUGUGUGGUGAGGUGAUUUUAUAGAGGAUCUGUUGUGUUGUUUAAAUUCACAUAUAACUGGAUUAGAUAAGUGUGUUCUUGGUCAAUAUAAAUUAAACUGGAAAAACGUAAGGUAAUUUCCAUUGAUGGAGCAGCAAAUAUGACGGGAAAACAUAGCAGGAUUAUUAAAAAAUUGUUAGAAGCAACCCAUAACAGUGCUCUUUGGAAUCACUGUUUUAUUCAUCAAGAAGCUUUGGUAUCCAAAGAAAUUCCACAAAGUCUAAUGGAUAUAUUGAAAAAUGUGAUGAAAAUGGUUAAUUUUAUUAAAGGAAGCUCACUGAACAGCCGACUUCUUAAAAUAUUUUGUUCAGAGAUUGGAGUUAACCAUACCCAUUUACUGUUUCAUACAGAAGUUUGUUGGUUGUCUCAUGGAAAAGUAUUGAGCAGAGUAUGUGAACUCAGGAAUGAGAUUUACAUUUUUCUCAUUGAAAAGCAAUCUCAUUUGGUAACUAUUUUUGAAGAUGACUUUUCGGUAACAAAAUUGGCAUACUUAAGUGAUAUUUUUGGCAUUCUUAAUGAAUUAAAUUUGAAACUACAGGGGAAAAACAAUGAUAUGUUUCAAUAUGUGGAACAUAUUCUAGGAUUCCAAAAGACAUUAUUGUUUUGGCAAACAAGACUUAAAAGUAAUCGCCCAAGCUACUAUAUCUUCCCAACAUUGUUACAACACAUUGAAGAGAACAUUAUUAAUGAAGACUGCAUGGAAGAAAUAAAAUUAGAGAUAUUGUUGCAUCUCACUUCUUUAUCUCAAAUCUUUAAUCAUUACUUUCCAGAAGAGAAAUUUAAAUCAUUAAAGGAAAAUAUUUGGAUGAAAGAUCCAUUUGCUUUUCAAACCCCAUAAUCAAUAAUUGAGUUGAACUUGAUGCCUGAAGGAGAGAAUGAAUUGUUGCAGCUCAGUUCAUCAUCAUUCACGCUGAGGAAUUAUUAUAAGACAUUAAGUUUAUCGGCAUUUUGGAUUAAGAUCUAAGAUGAAUUUCCAUUGCUAA